rnacentral:misc_RNA from 1 species
CCUUUUUUUUUUCCUUUUUUUUUCCGUCUGGAACAAAUUUGCCAAGAAACUUGUUUGGAAAAUUCACAGCUGAUUCUUGGCAUAUUAAUGCAAUUUUAGUGCUCACUUUUCUUAAUUUAGGGUUUUUUUCUCAUAUUGCUGAUGUUUUUCCCUUCUACCCAGAAUCUCUUUGUGACUUGCAUUUACUUGUUGCAUGCAUUUAUGUUUACUAUUAACAUAAACCUUUGUUGCUAUCACUAUAGAAAAUAAAAAAGAAGAUGGAGA